UGAGCUCUCAGCUGUUCUGUUCACAAUGGU
rnacentral:piRNA from 1 species